CAGUAGCCGCGGGAAUACAGAGGAUGCAAGCGUUAUCCGGAAUUAUUGGGCGUAAAGGGCUCGCAGGCGGUUUCUUAAGUCUGAUGUGAAAGCCCCCGGCUCAACCGGGGAGGGUCAUUGGAAACUGGGAAACUUGAGUGCAGAAGAGGAGAGUGGAAUUCCACGUGUAGCGGUGAAAUGCGUAGAGAUGUGGAGGAACACCAGUGGCGAAGGCGACUCUCUGGUCUGUAACUGACGCUGAGGAGCGAAAGCGUGGGGAGCGAACAGGAUUAGAGACCCCUGUAGUCCCUGUCUCUUAUAC
rnacentral:rRNA from 1 species